rnacentral:rRNA from 1 species
UACGAAGGGGGCUAGCGUUGCUCGGAAUUACUGGGCGUAAAGGGCGCGUAGGCGGAUAUUUAAGUCGGGGGUGAAAGCCCGGGGCUCAACCUCGGAAUUGCCUUCGAUACUGGAUAUCUUGAGUACGGGAGAGGUGAGUGGAACUCCGAGUGUAGAGGUGAAAUUCGUAGAUAUUCGGAAGAACACCAGUGGCGAAGGCGACUCACUGGCCCGUUACUGACGCUGAGGCGACGAAAGCGUGGGGAGCAAACAGG